GACGAACGCUGGCGGCGUGCUUAACACAUGCAAGUCGAACGGAAAGGCCCUGCUUUUGUGGGGUGCUCGAGUGGCGAACGGGUGAGUAACACGUGAGUAACCUGCCCUUGACUUUGGGAUAACUUCAGGAAACUGGGGCUAAUACCGGAUAGGAGCUCCUGCUGCAUGGUGGGGGUUGGAAAGUUUCGGCGGUUGGGGAUGGACUCGCGGCUUAUCAGCUUGUUGGUGGGGUAGUGGCUUACCAAGGCUUUGACGGGUAGCCGGCCUGAGAGGGUGACCGGCCACAUUGGGACUGAGAUACGGCCCAGACUCCUACGGGAGGCAGCAGUGGGGAAUAUUGCACAAUGGGCGGAAGCCGGAUGCAGCAACGCCGCGUGCGGGAUGACGGCCUUCGGGUUGUAAACCGCUUUCGCCUGUGACGAAGCGUGAGUGACGGUAAUGGGUAAAGAAGCACCGGCUAACUACGUGCCAGCAGCCGCGGUGAUACGUAGGGUGCGAGCGUUGUCCGGAUUUAUUGGGCGUAAAGGGCUCGUAGGUGGUUGAUCGCGUCGGAAGUGUAAUCUUGGGGCUUAACCCUGAGCGUGCUUUCGAUACGGGUUGACUUGAGGAAGGUAGGGGAGAAUGGAAUUCCUGGUGGAGCGGUGGAAUGCGCAGAUAUCAGGAGGAACACCAGUGGCGAAGGCGGUUCUCUGGGCCUUUCCUGACGCUGAGGAGCGAAAGCGUGGGGAGCGAACAGGCUUAGAUACCCUGGUAGUCCACGCUGUAAACGGUGGGUACUAGGUGUGGGGUCCAUUCCACGGGUUCCGUGCCGUAGCUAACGCUUUAAGUACCCCGCCUGGGGAGUACGGCCGCAAGGCUAAAACUCAAAGGAAUUGACGGGGCCCCGCACAAGCGGCGGAGCAUGCGGAUUAAUUCGAUGCAACGCGUAGAACCUUACCUGGGUUUGACAUGGAUCGGGAGCGCUCAGAGAUGGGUGUGCCUCUUUUGGGGUCGGUUCACAGGUGGUGCAUGGCUGUCGUCAGCUCGUGUCGUGAGAUGUUGGGUUAAGUUCCGCAACGAGCGCAACCCUUGUUCACUGUUGCCAGCACGUUAUGGUGGGGACUCAGUGGAGACCGCCGGGGUCAACUCGGAGGAAGGUGGGGAUGACGUCAAGUCAUCAUGCCCCUUAUGUCCAGGGCUUCACGCAUGCUACAAUGGCUGGUACAGAGAGUGGCGAGCCUGUGAGGGUGAGCGAAUCUCGGAAAGCCGGUCUCAGUUCGGAUUGGGGUCUGCAACUCGACCUCAUGAAGUCGGAGUCGCUAGUAAUCGCAGAUCAGCAACGCUGCGGUGAAUACGUUCCCGGGGCU
rnacentral:rRNA from 1 species